rnacentral:rRNA from 1 species
AAUCAACGCUGGCGGCGUGCCUCAGACAUGCAAGUCGAACGAUUAAGGCUUCCUUCGGGAAGUGUAUAAAGUGGCGCACGGGUGAGUAACACGUAAGUAAUCUACCUUCGAGUGGGGAAUAACAUCGGGAAACCGAUGCUAAUACUGCAUAAUGCAGCGGCAUCGCAAGAUGACGGUUGUUAACGGAGCAAUUCGCUUGAAGAGGAGCUUGCGGCAGAUUAGCUAGUUGGUAAGGUAAUGGCUUAACAAGGAUACGAUCUCUAUCCGGUCUAAGAGGACGGUCGGACACACUGACACUGAAUAACGGGUCAGACUCCUACGGGAGGCAGCAGUCGGAAAUUUUGGGCAAUGGGCGAAAGCCUGACCCAGCAACGCCGCGUGAGGGAUGAAGGAUUUCGGUAUGUAAACCUCGAAAGAAUGGGAAGAAUAAAUGACGGUACCAUUUAUAAGCUCCGGCUAACUACGUGCCAGCCGCCGCCGUAAAAC